GACGAACGCUGGCGGCGUGCCUAAUACAUGCAAGUCGAACGCAGUGGGGACGGGGUAGUAACACGUGGGUAACCUCCCAUCAGAGGGGAUAACACUUGGCAACAGGUGCUAAACCGAUAUUGGUGGAUGGACCCGCGGUGGAUUAGGUAGUGGGUGGGGUAACGGCUCACCAAGGCCACGAUGAAUAGCCGACCUGAGAGGGUGAUCGGCCACACUGGGACUGAGACACGGCCCAGACUCCUACGGGAGGCAGCAGUAGGGAAUAUUGGACAAUGGACGAAAGUCUGACCGAGCAACGCCGCGUGAGUGAAGAAGGUUUUAGGAUCGUAAAACUCUGUUAUUAGAGAAGCGUUAUCUAACCAGAAAGCAACGGCUAACUACGUGCCAGCAGCCGCGGUAAUAC
rnacentral:rRNA from 1 species